rnacentral:rRNA from 1 species
UGGGGAAUAUUGGACAAUGGAGGCAACUCUGAUCCAGCAAUUCUGUGUGUGUGAAGAAGGUUUUAGGACUGUAAAACACUUUUAGUAGGGAAGAAAGAAAUGACGGUACCUACAGAAGAAGCGACGGCUAAAUACGUGCCAGCAGCCGCGGUAAUACGUAUGUCGCGAGCGUUAUCCGGAAUUAUUAGGCUUAAAGGGCAUCUAGGCGGUUAAACAAGUUGAAGGUGAAAACCUGUGGCUCAACCAUAGGCUUGCCUACAAAACUGUAUAACUAGAGUACUGGAAAGGUGGGUGGAACUACACGAGUAGAGGUGAAAUUCGUAGAUAUGUGUAGGAAUGCCGAUGAUGAAGAUAACUCACUGGACAGCAACUGACGCUGAAGUGCGAAAGCUAGGGGAGCAAACAGG